AAGACCUUGCACUUUUGGAGCGGCCGAUGUCUGAUUAGCUAGUUGGUGGGGUAAUGGCCUACCAAAGCUUCGAUCAGUAGCUGGUCUGAGAGGACGGCCAGCCACACUGGGACUGAGACACGGCCCAGACUCCUACGGGAGGCAGCAGUGGGGAAUUUUGGACAAUGGGCGCAAGCCUGAUCCAGCCAUGCCGCGUGAGUGAAGAAGGCCUUCGGGUUGUAAAGCUCUUUCAGCCGGGAAGAAAAGGUCGCGACUAAUAAUCGCAAUUCAUGACGGUACCGAAAGAAGAAGCACCGGCUAACUACGUGCCAGCAGCCGCGGUAAUACGUAGGGUGCGAGCGUUAAUCGGAAUUACUGGGCGUAAAGGGUGCGCAGGCGGUUUUGUAAGUCAGAUGUGAAAUCCCCGGGCUUAACCUGGGAACU
rnacentral:rRNA from 1 species